rnacentral:rRNA from 1 species
UGUUCGGAAUUACUGGGCGUAAAGCGCACGUAGGCGGCUUUGUAAGUUAGAGGUGAAAGCCCGGGGCUCAACUCCGGAAUUGCCUUUAAGACUGCAUCGCUCGAACGUUGGAGAGGUGAGUGGAAUUCCGAGUGUAGAGGUGAAAUUCGUAGAUAUUCGGAAGAACACCAGUGGCGAAGGCGACUCACUGGACGACUGUUGACGCUGAGGUGCGAAAGCGUGGGGAGCAAACAGG